rfam:Enterobacter aerogenes KCTC 2190, complete genome.
CUGGAGUAUGACGCAUGAUUCGCACCACUCGCUUCACCAGCCUACUACUACUAAACGCAUCCAUUGUGCGCGGUAGGCUGUUGGGCGACGUUCAGCGUUAAGUCAUCUUCCAGCAAGACACUAAACCCGCGCCAUUGCGCGGGUUUUUUU